rnacentral:rRNA from 1 species
GCAGUGGUGCAAUGUGGUGUAAGGGAAGGUCUGUUCUGUUGGAGUGCCUGGUGUCCAAGUCCCCCUGACUGGGGCCAUGACCCAAGGAGGGUGCAAGGCCCGUGUGGCCCGGCAAACUCUGUGCUCCAAUGGUCGGAUCCUUUCCCAGGAGUCGGGUUGCUUGAGAGUGCAGCCCUAAGUGGGUGGUAAACUCCAUCUAAGGCUAAAUACUUGCCACGAGACCGAUAGCAAACAAGUACCGUGAGGGAAAGUUGCAAAGAACUUUGAAGAGAGAGUUCAAGAGUGCGUGAAACCGUUCGGAGGUAAACGGGUGGGACCUCGAAGGUCGAACGGAUGGGGAGGGAUUCAACCCGCUGCCAUGGCACCCAAGCCGUAGUGAUUGCAUUCCAGACUCCGGCCUGGUUGCCCUACGUGCAGUGGAGUGACAUCGUUGUAGCGGGUGCAUUUCCCGGCACCCCCUUCCUAGUAGGACGCCGCGACCGGUUGGAAUGUUGAACGCGGGAGACCAGGAGCGGGGCCAAUGGUAGCUGCACAGGUGCAUUCGGUCGGCGGCAUUUAUAUGCUCCCUGCCGCACCUGCUUGUCUGGCCGGGCCAUGGCGUAGUGUCUCUCACUCCGACCGAGGUGCUAAGUGCGCAUUGGCUCCCUGCAAGGGCCAUGCGUCUAUUAUCGUUCCCUGCAUCCCUCUGCUCAGGUAGACAGAGUCCACCGGGUGGUGUCGGCCUGUCAGGUGUAGUGGUCCCUCGUGGCUGCCACCUGUGCAAGGCUUUGAUUACUGCUGUCAGUGACGGACACAGGCUCCUGACUUUGGGAACUGAGGGUUCAGCGGCGAGUAGGUUGGUAUCCCACCCGACCCGUCUUGAAACACGGACCAAGGAGUCUAACAUGCUUGCGAGUCUUCGGGGCCUGACAAACCCCAUGAAGGCGGAAUGAAAGUGAAGGCGGUUUUUAUGGAUUGCCUAGGCAGGAUCCUGAAGGUGAGAGUCUUCAGGCGCACUGCCGGCCCGUCCUCAGGUCGCUUGCCGAUCGGGCGGAGCUAGAGCAAGUCUGUUGGUACCCGAAAGAUGGUGAACUAUGCCUGGGCAGGACGAGGCCAGAGGAAACUCUGGUGGAAGUCCGUAGCGAUUCUGACGUGCAAAUCGAUCGUCGGACCUGGGUAUAGGGGCGAAAGACUAAUCGAACCAUCUAGUAGCUGGUUCCCUCCGAAGUUUCCCUCAGGAUAGCUGGCAUUCGGAGGAGAGAGGUGCAGUUUCAUCCGGUAAAGCGAAUGAUUAGAGGAACUUGGGGUCGAAACGACCUCAACCUAUUCUCAAACUUUCAAUGGGUGAGAAGACCAGUAUGCUCGACUGAAUUCUGGCACACCUUCAUUGAGAAUGCGAGUGCCAAGUGGGCCACUUUUGGUAAGCAGAACUGGCGCUGUGGGAUGAACCAAACGCCGGGUUAAGGCGCCCGAUGCGGACGCUCAUCAGAGCCCAUGAAAGGUGUUGGUUGCUAUAGACAGCAGGACGGUGGCCAUGGAAGUCGGAAUCCGCUAAGGAGUGUGUAACAACUCACCUGCCGAAGCAACUAGCCCUGAAAAUGGAUGGCGCUCCAGCGUUGAGCCCAUACCCGGCCGCUGGUGGUAAAGCAUUGCUGAUACCCCAGCGAGUAGGAGGGUCACGACGGUGUGCGUGGAAGGUGUCGGGCGUAGGCCCGCCUGGAGCCGCCGUCGGUGCAGAUCUUGGUGGUAGUAGCAAAUACUCAAGUGAGACUCCUUGAGGACCGAAGUGGAGAAGGGUUCCAUGUGAACAGCAGUUGAACAUGGGUCAGUCGGCCCUAAGGAAUGGGAAAAUUCCGUUCCGAUCGGUUGGGCGUUAAGAGCCAAUGCCUGCUAUAGACCGAAAGGGAAUCCGGUUAAUAUUCCGGAACCUGGACACAGGGAUCGGUUCUGCCUACAUUCCGACUUCGGCCGGGUGGGGCAGGACCCGUGGCGGUAACGCAAACAAGCUCGGAGACUGUCGGUGGGGGUCCCGGGAAGAGUUUUCUUUUCUUUGUAAGGGACGGACUCCAUGGAAUCGGCUUGCCCGGAGAUAUGGACGUUGUUCCCGGAAAGCACCACGGCUCUUGUGGUGUCCGGUGCACUUCCACCGUCCCAUGAAAAUCCGAGUUUGCGAUAUGAUCUUUGUGCCAGACCGUACCCAUAUCCGCAGCAGGUCUCCAAGGUGAACAGCCUCUGGUCGAUAGAACAAUGUAGGUAAGGGAAGUCGGCAAGCCAGAUCCGUAACUUCGGGAUAAGGAUUGGCUCUGAGGGCUGGGCCGGUCGGGCUGGAGUUGGAAGCGGGUGCGGGCACCGCAGCGGGGCUGGGCGAGUCCACUACCUCUGGUUGUGGUACGAGCUCGGACCUGGCGACGGGACCUUCUCGUGGAAAGCACCAGCUGCGCGGCGGUGGGGCAUCAUAGGGGGCUUGGUGGUUCUGCUGCCGGUCUCCUCCCAUCGAUCGCUUCGUCCGGUGUGUAACAGCCAACUCAGAACUGGCACGGACCAGGNNNNNNNNNNNNNNNNNNNNNNNNNNNNNNNNNNNNNNNNNNNNNNNNNNNNNNNNNNNNNNNNNNNNNNNNNNNNNNNNNNNNNNNNNNNNNNNNNNNNGCAGCGUUGGAUGUUCACCCACUAAUAGGGAACGUGAGCUGGGUUUAGACCGUCGUGAGACAGGUUAGUUUUACCCUACUAAUGACUCGUCACUGCGAUAGUAAUCCUGCUCAGUACGAGAGGAACCGCAGGUUCGGACCGGUGGUCCUUGUGCUUGGCCGAACGGCCAGUGGUGCGAAGCUACCAUCCGUUGGAUUACGACUGAACGCCUCUAAGUCGGAAUCCAUUCUAGUCAUGUGCAGUGAUACUGUGCGUGCCUCGUGUGCCUUGGGUGGCAAUGCCAGGUGAGCAGGUCUAUUUGGCUGGGAGCGGCUGCAGUCUCGAGCAAUCGGGGUUGUUAGUUGUUGCCCAGCCAUUAGCUUGUCACCGGUCAUGCCUUUCUCGAGGAGGAAACCUUCGCUGGUGCUGUGAGUCCCGUGCCAGCUUGCCUCGUUUCGACGAACUUGCGUAGCAUUGUCGAGGUGCCAAAUCGUUCGUAGACGACCUAGGUACCAGUCGGGGUGUCGUACUUAGUAGAGCAGCUCCCACACUGCGAUCA